rnacentral:lncRNA from 1 species
CAAGGCACCUUUGCAAACAUUGCAUAGAAAGAAACCCCUGCAGAUGCUUGUAUUUUCUUAUUGUGAAUCAUGGGAAUUGUGAGUUUUCUUGGUUUUCCUAUGUUUGUCCCUCCCAAACCCAAUCGUUCUCUGCUCCUCCCUGCCCUGUUUGUGACCCAGGACCCUGACCCCUAUGACCUGUAUCACCUGGAAUUCUUGAGCUCUGACUUCCAAGUGAGUUUGGGCAAUGGGAGGCCCCAGCAGGAGACUGGAGGGUGAGAGGAGGAAGUUGGGGUAUUUCUUACCUUGCUCCUUUCCUGUGUCUGAGCUAUAGGUCAGCAGUGGCUGCAAUUCACUCAGCCAAGAGUCCUGCCUGGGCAUCCUUCUUUGGUUCCAGGCACACCCUUUCCUCUCUGACCCUGUAGCCUAGAGCACUGGUUAUGGCCUUCCGGCUUCCUGCUGUUGCUAGUACGAGGGUUACUCACCAUUCCUUUCAGAGUCCCUUAAUCCUGCCCCUGCCCCUGUAACAUAGUACUUUCCUUAAAUUCUCUGUAGAAUCUCAUCUGAGUGUGCCUUCUCUUUCUUCAUAGGUCCGGGCCUUCAUCCACACACGUUGCAGGAUUUUGAGAGACUGAGCCUUUUUCCUUCCCCUUUCAGUGUCAAUAGGUAUAAAUGUCCAGACCAGUAUGGAUCCUAUAUGUUAACUAGGAGAAAGCAGGAACAGUUUGCAGACACCUGAAUAAGUGGCACAGCCUGGAUUCAAAGUUGCAAUUCAAAGCUAGAUCUGCCACAUUCUGUGCAGGCGAAGAUCACCCAAAGCAUGGAGAUGCAGGCCUGAGACCUUGUGUGCCUUCAAAGAGCUGACUGGUGAGAGAGGGUAAGGAAGCAGUCAUCCGGAAUCAGGAUAGCAGUUGGCAUAGUGGGUAAAAAAUGCAGCAGGGUCUUAGGAUCUGAGAAAUGGUGCCCAAGUUGGGCUGGAACAGUGGGAGGAUGUGGCAGGAAGCUUAGUCAAGAAUGGGAAAGAGGGGUUGGCCUGGUGGCAUAGUGGUUAAGUUUGUGUGCUCUGCUUCAGUGGCCUGGGGUUCACCAGUUUGGAUGCUGGGUGUGGACCUACACACUGCUCAUGAAGGCAUGCUGUGGUGGAAUCCCACAUAGAAAAUAGAGGAAGAUUGGCAUAGAUGUUAGCUCAGUGACAAUCUUCCUCACCAAAAAAAUGAAUGGAAACGAGACUUGAGCUCAUGAAAAGAUAAAUUGGUGUGACAAGUGAUAACAUAGCAGAAAGCUUUCUCGGGGCCAGCUCCGUGGCCAAGUGGUUAAGUUUGCGUGCUCCACUUCAGUGGCCCAGGGUUUUGCUGGUUCAGAUCCUGAGCGCAGACAUGGCACUGCUCAUCAAGCCAUGCUGAGGUGGCAUCCCACCAUAGCACAGAAAGAGGCACUCACAACUAGAAUAUACAACUAUGUACUGGGGGGCUUUGGAGAGAAGAGGAAGGAAAAAAAAGAUUGGCAACAUAUGUUAGCUCGGAUGACUAUCUUUAAAAAAAAAAAAGGCUUUCUCUGCCACCUGUUUCUACUUCUACACUUUCCUUGAUCUUUGGCUAAAGAGGGAGCUUGAGAUUCGGGAAGAGCACCCAGUAUGAAGAAACAGAAUGAAUUGCACUCAGAAGUUGAAUAUCAUGUUCUUGGGGAAAACAGAGGCUCUUGUGUUAAAAUAGAAAUUGAAAGUGGUUGCUGGGAGCUUCACCAGCUUUGUUUAAUAGUAGCAAGCUGGUGAUAGAAUUGACACUAUAGCAAUUUCUUCCAUUCAGGGCUGUUGUGAGCAGCUUUACUACAGAAACACUUUUCAGCCCGAUACCUUGAUCAGAUCCAUUUUACUUCCAGCUGGGAAGAGGCUGAAGUUUAAGUGCACCUGCCCGAUGUGUUCUGGUGGGAGCACACGCAAUCCAUCUCCUCUGCAGGUUGUCUGCGUCGUCCAGAGUUCUCCUAGAGACCAGUGCCUGUUAGCAGCAGGUAAUAAACGUGUGGAAGCAAAUGCUUUCAUUACCCCCGUUAUGAUGUGUCCCAGCAUUCCUCGGACAGCCCGACUUGCCUUUUAUGCCAGAGUAAUAUUUGCUCAUCUAAGAAGCUAGGCUCAAAGUACAAGGAGAAUUGAGAUGAAACUGGCAUGCAACACUGACACAAGAGCUUUGUGUGUCCACAGUACAGAGAAACCUCAUUGGUGUUAUAUUCUGCACAGCCCAGUUUGUUUAGAAAGAGCAUCAGAGGGCUGGAAAUGGCCUCUGGGAGUCAGCUUUCUGCUUGUUGGCUGCUUUCAUAGGAACUGGACUUUUCGUUUCCCUGUUCAACAAAUGUUUGUUGGGUGGUUGCUUCACUUGUCCAGGCCCAAGUGGUCUCUGCCACCAGGAGGGAGCAUGAAGUCUCAUGGGGG